ensembl:lncRNA
CACUCAUAUACACACUAAGCCUCUCUCUUGCUCUCACUUUGUGGUAUUCUGGUGAGAAUGUGCUGAAGAUUUUGUCUGUUUCUCCUUCUUUGGUUUGUUGACCUUAUGGAAGAUCAAUCCAGGCGGAGUUCUGUCUGUCUGGACACAUUAUAAUGGAUUAGAGAUUAUGCUGAUGUUGAGUGUGGCUUCAUGACUGCAGGAUUAUCUCUGAAGUGGGUGUGGAUGUGUGUGCGCGCAUGUACGGAGAUCCCGAGCUAAGUUGAGCUGAUGCAGUGUGUUAUACAGUGGGCAUGGAGGAACGUCGUGCCCUGAAGGGGUGUGGCUGUUCAAACCUCUUUCAGAAAGUUUUGGCCACGUGUGAAUGCUACUCCAUCAGAGAUCAAGAGUCUUUCUCAGGACUCACUGAUGUCACUCCAGACACUUCUGCCCACUUUGUUCCCCCUGGUGACCUAUCUCCCAUCUCCUCUGGUGACCACUGGCCAGCAGCCCCAAGCACUCAAACCCCCUCAUCUCCCCAGCACUCUGUCAAAGCUCUGAGGCAGUGGCUGAGUGGCCCCUUCUGCAGGUUCAGCCUGGGACAAAGGAGCAAAGGCCAGAGGCCAGAGGUCAGAAAUAACCCAGAUCGACGGCCCUUCCCGUUUGUGCCGCUCUCACACAGCUAUAGUACAGUGAGCACUGCGCAGGAGUCCAGUUGCCAGUCACCUACAGAUGGACCACCGGAAUUGAACGGGGCUUCAGAAGUCAAAGUAGCUGAUGAUUCAGUUUAUCCCAGCCACAUAACUGAUCUCAUACAGAACCAUCAUUCCUGCCAACUGCUCCCUGGUGAAGGCAGUUCCUCUGUGACUGAUGAGAAAUUCAGCCAAUCAGUGGGUCUUGAAGACAGUGAAGAGGACAGAAAGAAUGCCUUAGAAAAAAGCAUAUAUGUUCUAUCAGAGCUGGUAGAGACAGAAAGGCUAUAUGUGGAAGAUCUAGGCCUCAUAGUUGAGGGCUACAUGGCCACUAUGAGUAACAGUGGAGUUCCAGAGUAUAUGAAAGGCAAAGAUAAAAUAGUAUUUGGAAAUGUUCACCAAAUCUAUGACUGGCAUAAGGACUACUUCCUUGGUGAACUGAAGAAGUGUGUGUCUAAUCCAGAGCAGCUGGGGCAGCUCUUCAUCAAACAUGAGCGGCGUCUUCACAUGUACGUGGUGUACUGCCAAAACAAGCCCAAGUCUGAGUGCAUUGUCUCAGAGUACAUAGACACCUAUUUUGAGGAUUUAAGACAGCAGUUGGGCCACAGGCUGCAGCUGAAUGACCUGCUGAUUAAACCUGUUCAGAGGAUCAUGAAGUAUCAGCUUCUACUCAAGGACUUCUUGAAGUAUUAUGUUAAAACAGGGAAACACACAGAAGAACUUGAGAGCGCGGUUGAGGUGAUGUGUUUUGUUCCUAAGCGAUGUAAUGAUAUGAUGAAUGUUGGGAGACUGCAAGGUUUUGAGGGGAAGAUAACAGCUCAGGGAAAACUGCUUCAGCAAGACACUUUCGCACUCAUCGAACAGGAAACUGGCGUCCUGCCCCGCCCCAAACAGAGGCAGGUAUUCCUUUUUGAGCAGCUCGUCAUCCUCAGCGAGCCAAUCGACCGCAAGAAAGAAUUCUCUCUGCCAGGAUACAUCUACAAGAACAGCAUCAAGGUGAGCUGCUUGGGAAUAGAGCACCGUUGCCCUGAUGACCUGUGUCGGUUGGUUCUGACAUCUCGUGCUGCCAGUGGAGAUGUGCAGCGGUUUGUCCUUCAGGCUCCGUCUCCAGAAGUCAGACUGUCUUGGGCCAAUGACAUUAUUCAGAUUCUGGAAACGCAGCACAACUUCCUCAAUGCCCUGCAGUCUCCUAUCGAGUAUCAGAAGCGUGAGAGUAAGUCGCUCAGUCUGGGCAGAGGCAUUAGGACAUCAACUUCUGUGAACUCCGCCCUCGGACCCUAUAGCUCCACCUCCAUCGACAGCCAGAAGCACCCAUGCCUGCGAACCUGCAACUCCUCACUGCCCACUAUGAUCCUGUCUAAACAAUAGGUAUCUCUGUUUACUACAGUACCAUAACACACUGCACUCUAGGGCUGCAACGGUUACUCGACAAAGUUCAUUAAGGAAAAAAAAUUUUUUUUUGCACUGCAUACACAAAGUUGUAUUUGUUGUUUUACAUUCCUACGUCUACGUCGAUUUUAUACCACUUUCGUGUUUACUUUCAUCUUUUUCAUUUCAAUACAAUACCCAGCAUGCAUUUUACAAAUACAUCUUACAACUACCGGAUAUCCUUGUAGUGUCGACAAGUCCUAUUUGCUAGCCUAGCCACUGAGAUAGGCUAAUAAACACAAACUCAACAGUUACUGUAACUUUCA